CUUUUUUACUGACUGUGCUAUUUUCUCUUCUGUGUGUGAUUUGGAAGCUCUUAUAACUUGCUUAGCCUCUUUCUGCCUAAUCUUAUAGAUCAUUUUGUCUUCCUCACUCUGGGUUUUUUUAUAAUUCCUAAAUGCUAACUUAUGUUUUUAACUAUUUUGGCCACAUCUGCGGAGUACCACAGUGGUUUCUUGAAUUUUUUGCUUUUACUGACAAGCCUAAUGCAAUUUUCUGUUGCCUUCAAUAGUGCAACUUUUAAAUAAUCCCAUU
rnacentral:lncRNA from 1 species